AAAAAUAUAAUUUUAUUUUAACAACUAUAUCUAAAAUUUAUAAAUAUUCACGUAUAGAUAUUUUAAAUAUUAUAAACUAAAUUAAAUUAACUAAAAUUUAAUUUUAACAUCUCUAUUGUACAAAUCUAUUGGUGUGUAUGAGAUAUAUACACACUUGGCCAGUGCGGACAAUGAGUUCGACUAAAUACCACUUUGAGUUAAACCCUCAACUAUGUUAAUUUGAUUAAUAUUUAAUCGACCUUUAAUUAUUUUUAUUUG
rnacentral:lncRNA from 1 species